UUCCACUGAUCAUUUUUCUGUCACUCCAACAUUUCUUCAUGGUAAGAAUGAGGAACAUUUUUUAGGUGACGCUCCAGAGAUGAAGUGUUCUCCAGGCUUCGUGAUUGUGGUACUCUUUAUGUUUGGACAAACCCAGGGAGACUCGGUGACUCAGACGGAAGUCCAAGUGACCCUCUUAGAAGAGGCUUCCCUGACUGUGAACUGCACUUAUUCAACAACUGUGUUUCCCACUCUUUUCUGGUAUGUCCAGUAUCCCAGUAAAGGUCUACAGCUCCUCUUGAGCUCCUCGAGAGACCAGGAGAAGAAAAGCAGCAAAGGUUUUGAAGUUACCUUGGACAGCAAAUCCAAAUCCUUCCACUUGGAGAAAGGCUCCGUGCAAGCAUCAGAUUCAGCUGUGUACUACUGUGCGAUGACGAUUGAGGCUGAGCCGUGGAAACUAAACAGUAAAGAGAAGACCUCGGUGACAGGAUCUAUUGUCUGA